rnacentral:rRNA from 1 species
UUAAGCGACUAAGCGUACACGGUGGAUGCCCUGGCAGUCAGAGGCGAUGAAGGACGUGCUAAUCUGCGAAAAGCGUCGGUAAGGUGAUAUGAACCGUUAUAACCGGCGAUGUCCGAAUGGGGAAACCCAGUGCAAUUCGUUGCACUAUCGUUAACUGAAUACAUAGGUUAACGAGGCGAACCGGGGGAACUGAAACAUCUAAGUACCCCGAGGAAAAGAAAUCAACCGAGAUUCCCCCAGUAGCGGCGAGCGAACGGGGAGCAGCCCAGAGUCUGAAUCAGCUUGUGUGUUAGUGGAACGGUCUGGAAAGUCCGACGGUACAGGGUGAUAGUCCCGUACACCAAAAUGCACAGGCUGUGAACUCGAAGAGUAGGGCGGGACACGUGGUAUCCUGUCUGAAUAUGGGGGGACCAUCCUCCAAGGCUAAAUACUCCUGACUGACCGAUAGUGAACCAGUACCGUGAGGGAAAGGCGAAAAGAACCCCGGCGAGGGGAGUGAAAAAGAACCUGAAACCGUGUACGUACAAGCAGUGGGAGCACCUUCGGGUGUGACUGCGUACCUUUUGUAUAAUGGGUCAGCGACUUAUAUUCUGUAGCAAGGUUAACCGUAUAGGGGAGCCGCAGGGAAACCGAGUCUUAACUGGGCGUUAAGUUGCAGGGUAUAGACCCGAAACCCGGUGAUCUAGCCAUGGGCAGGUUGAAGGUUGGGUAACACUAACUGGAGGACCGAACCGACUAAUGUUGAAAAAUUAGCGGAUGACUUGUGGCUGGGGGUGAAAGGCCAAUCAAACCGGGAGAUAGCUGGUUCUCCCCGAAAGCUAUUUAGGUAGCGCCUCGUGAAUUCAUCUUCGGGGGUAGAGCACUGUUUCGGCUAGGGGGUCAUCCCGACUUACCAACCCGAUGCAAACUACGAAUACCGAAGAAUGUUAUCACGGGAGACACACGGCGGGUGCUAACGUCCGUCGUGAAGAGGGAAACAACCCAGACCGCCAGCUAAGGUCCCAAAGUCAUGGUUAAGUGGGAAACGAUGUGGGAAGGCACAGACAGCCAGGAUGUUGGCUUAGAAGCAGCCAUCAUUUAAAGAAAGCGUAAUAGCUCACUGGUCGAGUCGGCCUGCGCGGAAGAUGUAACGGGGCUAAACCAUGCACCGAAGCUGCGGCAGCGACACUAUGUGUUGUUGGGUAGGGGAGCGUUCUGUAAGCCUGCGAAGGUGUGCUGUGAGGCAUGCUGGAGGUAUCAGAAGUGCGAAUGCUGACAUAAGUAACGAUAAAGCGGGUGAAAAGCCCGCUCGCCGGAAGACCAAGGGUUCCUGUCCAACGUUAAUCGGGGCAGGGUGAGUCGACCCCUAAGGCGAGGCCGAAAGGCGUAGUCGAUGGGAAACAGGUUAAUAUUCCUGUACUUGGUGUUACUGCGAAGGGGGGACGGAGAAGGCUAUGUUAGCCGGGCGACGGUUGUCCCGGUUUAAGCAUGUAGGCUGAUUAUCCAGGCAAAUCCGGAUAAUCAAGGCUGAGGUGUGAUGACGAGGCACUACGGUGCUGAAGUAACAAAUGCCCUGCUUCCAGGAAAAGCCUCUAAGCAUCAGGUAACAUCAAAUCGUACCCCAAACCGACACAGGUGGUCAGGUAGAGAAUACCAAGGCGCUUGAGAGAACUCGGGUGAAGGAACUAGGCAAAAUGGUGCCGUAACUUCGGGAGAAGGCACGCUGGUGUGUAGGUGAAGCCCCUGCGGGUGGAGCUGAGACCAGUCGAAGAUACCAGCUGGCUGCAACUGUUUAUUAAAAACACAGCACUGUGCAAACACGAAAGUGGACGUAUACGGUGUGACGCCUGCCCGGUGCCGGAAGGUUAAUUGAUGGGGUUAUCCGUAAGGAGAAGCUCUUGAUCGAAGCCCCGGUAAACGGCGGCCGUAACUAUAACGGUCCUAAGGUAGCGAAAUUCCUUGUCGGGUAAGUUCCGACCUGCACGAAUGGCGUAAUGAUGGCCAGGCUGUCUCCACCCGAGACUCAGUGAAAUUGAACUCGCUGUGAAGAUGCAGUGUACCCGCGGCAAGACGGAAAGACCCCGUGAACCUUUACUAUAGCUUGACACUGAACAUUGAGCCUUGAUGUGUAGGAUAGGUGGGAGGCUUUGAAGCGUGGACGCCAGUCUGCGUGGAGCCAACCUUGAAAUACCACCCUUUAAUGUUUGAUGUUCUAACGUUGGCCCCUUACCGGGGUUGCGGACAGUGUCUGGUGGGUAGUUUGACUGGGGCGGUCUCCUCCCAAAGCGUAACGGAGGAGCACGAAGGUUAGCUAAUCCUGGUCGGACAUCAGGAGGUUAGUGCAAUGGCAUAAGCUAGCUUGACUGCGAGCGUGACGGCGCGAGCAGGUGCGAAAGCAGGUCAUAGUGAUCCGGUGGUUCUGAAUGGAAGGGCCAUCGCUCAACGGAUAAAAGGUACUCCGGGGAUAACAGGCUGAUACCGCCCAAGAGUUCAUAUCGACGGCGGUGUUUGGCACCUCGAUGUCGGCUCAUCACAUCCUGGGGCUGAAGUAGGUCCCAAGGGUAUGGCUGUUCGCCAUUUAAAGUGGUACGCGAGCUGGGUUUAGAACGUCGUGAGACAGUUCGGUCCCUAUCUGCCGUGGGCGCUGGAGAAUUGAGGGGGGCUGCUCCUAGUACGAGAGGACCGGAGUGGACGCAUCACUGGUGUUCGGGUUGUCAUGCCAAUGGCACUGCCCGGUAGCUAAAUGCGGAAGAGAUAAGUGCUGAAAGCAUCUAAGCACGAAACUUGCCCCGAGAUGAGUUCUCCCUGAGACUUUAAGUCUCCUGAAGGAACGUUAAAGACGAUGACGUUGAUAGGCCGGGUGUGUAAGCGCAGCGAUGCGUUGAGCUAACCGGUACUAAUGAACCGUGAGGCUUAACCUU